UACGAAGGGAGCAAGCGUUGUUCGGAAUCACUGGGCGUAAAGCGCACGUAGGCGGAUUGCUAAGUCAGGGGUGAAAUCCCGGGGCUCAACCUCGGAACUGCCUUUGAUACUGGCGGUCUAGAGUCCGGAAGAGGUGGGUGGAAUUCCUAGUGUAGAGGUGAAAUUCAUAGAUAUUAGGAAGAACACCGGUGGCGAAGGCGGCCCACUGGUCCGGUACUGACGCUGAGGUGCGAAAGCGUGGGGAGCAAACAGG
rnacentral:rRNA from 1 species